rnacentral:lncRNA from 1 species
UGCCAAGCCUGAGCUCAAACUUGGAAUCCUCGUGCCUCAGCCUCCCAGGUGUGCACCCCCAGGGCUGACUGGUCUUACAAGUGGCAGUGAUAUUUCCCUUUCACUGCCUGUGAGAGAAGUGAUUCCCACACCUGGAGCACACUGACGUUCCCUGACAACCACAGAGGCUGACCUCCUGUACCCCCGAGGUCUGAGGAACUGGUCUGGGUGUGGCUGAGGCUUUGGGAGUUUUACAAGUGUCCCAGAAGAUUGCAGCAGGUACCCAGGCCUGCCGACCAGGCCAGUGCCCUACUGAUUGUGGAAGCAGGAAUUGCUAAGGAGAGGUGUCCAGGGAAUCGGGACUCAUCGGGACCCAUCUGCUCACUGAUGUUGACUGAAGCCAGGGGAAGGGACAACCUUGCUUUAAGGGACUCUGCCAAGGACACUAAGAUGGUUUCAGGACGGCUUGAGAUAGAAAGACUGACAGGAGCGGGAAGGGUUGGUGCCGGCCGGGAGUCCUGCUGGUCUUUGGCCUUCAGCCUCCGACCUUUGCACCCUGCUGGACCCUCCCUUGUGUGCUCAUUGCCCUGCCGUCCACUUUGCCAUGGCCACUGCAGUGCUCGGUACAGGACUCAGCUCAGAGUCCUCAGAGUCCUCUGUAAAAGUGAAAUGGCAGAGCAAGAACAAGCGGCAGUGGCCCAUAGACUGUGCACUCGUGCCUGGCGUUAGGAGGACCAUCUCCUGCCAUAGGAAAUUGGAAAUUUCCUUAUCUUCUGAUCUUCCAGCUGAGGACAUGGGGCUCUGAGGGCUCCAGGCCUUGCCCGGUCACGCAGCCGGGUGAGAUUGAUGACUCGGGAGCAAACUGUUGAAACAACUAACUCACCGUGAACCUGAAAAGACUUCCUUUCCUGGUGUCUCCAAUCUUCCUCUGCCACUCUGCCCUUCCCUUUUAGAGGAGUGUAAAACACAGUAAAAAAGAAGAACGAUCUAAUAAGUUUCAGAGAGAAGCCCAACCUUCUCUCUGCCCCCUAGGUCUGGUUUUCAUCAUUUAAGUAUGUAGGGGAGGAAAAUACCUUCGCUAAUAGGUUGUGGACCUUGAAACUUUGACUGUAGACCUGUACAGUGCUAGAUGGUGAGGGCAGGGAGGUGACUUAUGCAUUUACAUAUUUCUCCAACUCGUUGGGAGUUAACUUUGGAACCCGCUGGUAGUCAGGGCACCCCUUCCUUCCAAGGAGCCAAGCUAAGACAACUUGCAACCACUGUUUUGUCUUACACGGAGGGAAAGAACAAUCAGCUAAUGAUUUACAUUUAUUUAUGUGUUUUAAAAAUAUGGUAACCAGAAUAAAAAGAGACUUAGCCGGCCUUUCUGUUCUUUUCAUGUGCGCAUAGAAAACCGAUAGAUGUGCCUUUGCUAACACGUGAAUGGCAGUUGCUAGGUGAUCCACG